rnacentral:rRNA from 1 species
UACGGAGGGGGCUAGCGCUGUUCGGAAUUACUGGGCGUAAAGCGCACGUAGGCGGCUUUGUAAGUUAGAGGUGAAAGCCCGGGGCUCAACUCCGGAAUUGCCUUUAAGACUGCAUCGCUAGAAUUGUGGAGAGGUAAGUGGAAUUCCGAGUGUAGAGGUGAAAUUCGUAGAUAUUCGGAAGAACACCAGUGGCGAAGGCGACUUACUGGACACAUAUUGACGCUGAGGUGCGAAAGCGUGGGGAGCAAACAGG